UACGGAGGGAGCAAGCGUUGUUCGGAAUUACUGGGCGUAAAGGGCGCGCAGGCGGUUUGGUAAGUCAGAUGUGAAAUUCACCGGCUCAACCGGUCGAACUGCAUCCGAUACUGCCAGACUUGAGAUCAGUAGAGGAGAGUGGAAUUCCCAGUGUAGCGGUGGAAUGCGUAGAUAUUGGGAAGAACACCGGUGGCGAAGGCGGCUCUCUGGACUGAUUCUGACGCUGAGGCGCGAAAGCUAGGGGAGCGAACAGG
rnacentral:rRNA from 1 species